rnacentral:lncRNA from 1 species
CGGCGGAGCUCGGAACCGAGACCCUGCUCUGGAGUCCGGAGUCGGAUCUGGGGCGCCCCAGCCCCGCACACCCAGAGCAGCCCGCACGCCCCCCGCGGCGGGCAGCUCACCUCCGUUCAGGGGUGCUCGUCGAACAUUGUCCUCCUAAGGGUCACACCGGCAUUCCUGUAGGUUGGCAGUUUGGGAUCCCCAAAGCUCAAGAGCCUCUUGUUCAAGGUCUCCCCCCCACUUAAGGUGGGAGAACCCAGAGCCCCGGGGGGGGGGGGUCCUUGUGCUCCCGUCUGACCCCGGGUGAGCGCAGGCACGCCCUCUUCGCGGGAGGCCUUCGCCCCAGUCGGGGCUGGGAAUCGCUCAACAGACAUUUCUGGGGCACCUGCUGCAUGGGGCAGGUGCUUGGGGCACAGGGGACCCAGAAACAAGUGAAUCGCAGGCCUGCCCACAGAGCUAGUGCUCUUGGGGAGGGAAAAGGGACAGUGACAGUGCAGCCGAGAAAGAGAACGAGGGGCUGGCGGCAGCUGUAGCCUGAGAUCUGGGGGCUUCUAGGAGGAGGUGGCCUUGACUCUCGAUCUGGAAGGGGAGGAAAAGCGGCCCCUGGGAGGCUGGGGGAAGGGCACCCCGGGUAGAGGUUAGCGGUAGGAGCAAAGGUCCUGAGGUGCGGAGCAGCUGGCGUUGGAAGACCGCAGGGGGCAGGGCGGCUGAGCCGAG